ACGUACGUACUAAGGUGAAAGGGUGCGUUAAUGGUCGGUAACAUACACACGUACGUACCAUGGUGAAAGGGUGCCUUAAUGGUCAGUAACAUACACACGUACGUACCAUGGUGAAAGGGAGCGUUAACGGUCAGUAACAUGCACACAUACAUGUACGUACGUACCAAGGUGAAAGGG